AGGGCAAUUGGUGGAUGCCUUGGCAUACACAGGCGAUGAAGGACGUGGCACGCUGCGAUAAGCUGCGGUGAGGUGUGAGCAACCUUUGACCCGCAGAUUUCCGAAUGGGGAAACCCAUCCUCACUAUUUACUCUCAGCCGAGUUCAACUCGGUUGGGGAUAAAUAGGAAGGAUAUCACUUUGCUGAAUAAAAUAGGCUUAGUGAAGCGAACCCGGGGAACUGAAACAUCUCAGUACCCGGAGGAAAAGACAUCAACCGAGAUUCCGUUAGUAGUGGCGAGCGAAAGCGGACCAGGCCAGUGCCUGGUGUUUAGCUAGGAGAAGCUUCUGGAAAGGAGCGCCAUAGAGGGUGACAGCCCCGUAUUUGAAAGCGAGACAUCAGGACUUGAGUAGGGCGGGACACGUGUAAUCCUGUCUGAACAUGGGGGGACCACCCUCCAAGCCUAAGUACUCCUCAGUGACCGAUAGUGAACAAGUACCGUGAGGGAAAGGUGAAAAGCACCCCGAUGAGGGGAGUGAAACAGUACCUGAAACCGGUUGCCUACAAGCAGUGGGAGCUCCCUUGAGGAGUGACCGCGUACCUCUUGCAUAAUGGGUCAGUGACUUAAUGUAUCAAGCAAGCUUAAGCCGAUAGGUGUAGGCGCAGCGAAAGCGAGUCUGAAUAGGGCGACUGAGUUUGAUGCAUUAGACCCGAAACCCGGCGAUCUAGGCAUGACCAGAGUGAAGGUGGGGUAACACCCACUGGAGGCUCGAACCGAUUAACGUUGAAAAGUUACCGGAUGAGUUGUGUUUAGGGGUGAAAGGCCAAUCAAGCCGGGAAAUAGCUGGUUCUCCGCGAAAACUAUUGAGGUAGUGCCUCGGAUGUUUUCCUGUGGGGGUAGAGCACUGGAUGGGCUAGGGGGCCGCGAGGUCUACCAAACCUAACCAAACUCCGAAUACCAUCGAGUGAUAUCCGGGAGACAGACGGCGGGUGCUAAGGUCCGUCGUCAAAAGGGAAACAGCCCUAACCUACAGCUAAGGUCCCCAAGUCAUCACUAAGUGGGAAAGCAUGUGGGAAUCCCAAAACAACCAGGAGGUUGGCUUAGAAGCAGCCAUCCUUUAAAGAAAGCGUAACAGCUCACUGGUCUAAUUAAGGGUUCCUGCGGCGAAGAUGUAACGGGGCUAAAGUGAUGCACCGAAGCUUAGGGUGUGAUCUUUGAUCACGCGGUAGCGGAGCGUUCCGUAGGCCGAUGAAGCGGAAGGGUAACCGACCGUGGAGGUAUCGGAAGUGCGAAUGCUGACAUGAGUAGCGAUAAACAGGGUGAGAUGCCCUGUCGCCGAAAGACCAAGGGUUCCUGCGCAAGGCUAAUCCGCGCAGGGUGAGCCGGCCCCUAAGACGAGCCCGAAGGGGGUAGUCGAUGGGAAGCAGGUUAAUAUUCCUGCACCUGGAGGUGUGUGACGGAUCUCGUAAGUUGUCGUCCCUUAUCGGAUUGGGGCGGCUUCGAAGAGGUUCCAGGAAAUAGCCCCUCCGUAUAGACCGUACCCGAAACCGACACAGGUGGGCAGGUAGAGUAUACCAAGGCGCUUGAGAGAAGGGUGUUGAAGGAACUCGGCAAAUUGCCUCCGUACCUUCGGAAGAAGGAGGCCCUCAUUCCGGGCAACCGGUUUGAGGGGGCACAGGCCAGGGGGUAGCGACUGUUUAACAAAAACACAGGGCUCUGCUAAGUCGGCUUCAAGACGACGUAUAGGGUCUGACGCCUGCCCGGUGCCGGAAGGUUAAGAGGAGGAGUGCAAGCUCCGAAUUGAAGCCCCGGUAAACGGCGGCCGUAACUAUAACGGUCCUAAGGUAGCGAAAUUCCUUGUCGGGUAAGUUCCGACCUGCACGAAUGGCGUAACGACUUCCCCACUGUCUCCAACACCUGCUCAGCGAAAUUGAAUUCUCCGUGAAGAUGCGGAGUACCCGCGGUUAGACGGAAAGACCCCGUGCACCUUUACUACAACUUUGCAGUGGGUGCAGGGCUCGUUUGUGUAGGAUAGGCGGGAGGCUAGGAACGGCGGGCGCCAGUCCGCCCGGAGCCGGCCUUGAAAUACCGCCCUUACGGGUUCUGCACUCUAACCGAGGCCCGUAACCCGGGUCCGGGACCCUGCAUGG
rnacentral:rRNA from 1 species